rnacentral:snRNA from 1 species
GCCGGGUUACGGUGCCCAA